rnacentral:lncRNA from 1 species
CAGCCAGUACAUAGCACUUGAUCCGAUUGACAUCAUCCAUCCAUUUAUCCAGUGCAGCUCUCUGUUCAGCAUUAGGAUGACUUGGCAAAGGAGGGGGGUCUUGGUCAAGAACAUACCAUAAAUUUUUCGAUAUCAAAACUAUCUUAAAAUUUCUGAGCCAGUCCUUGAAAUUGGUUUUGAUCAAUCGAUUGGACUCUAGGAUACAGGCUAAAGGAUUUGAAGCUGAUAUAGUUAAACUGCGAAGAGUAA